rnacentral:lncRNA from 1 species
UCCGGAAGCGGAUGUUUCUACACCAUUUUUUCUUUUUCUCAUCUUUCUUUUCCUUGCACUUGCCCUUUUUCAACAACAUUUUUAUUCUACGGAUGAAUACCCCAAACUUAUCUUGUUGCACAAGUUUUACAUUACAACAGUCAUGCCGAGCUAGGGUAGGGAGUGUAUGGCUAAGGGUUAACAUGAUGGUUUACACAAACAGAGGGUUACAGGCUCAACGAGGUUAGCAACGGAUGAAAACAAC